rnacentral:rRNA from 1 species
GACGAACGCUGGCGGCGUGCCUAAUACAUGCAAGUCGAGCGAAUCUGAUGGGAGCUUGCUCCCUGAWGAUUAGCGGCGGACGGGUGAGUAACACGUGGGUAACCUGCCUGUAAGACUGGGAUAACUCCGGGAAACCGGGGCUAAUACCGGAUAACUUUUUUCUUCGCAUGAGGGAGAAUUGAAAGAUGGCYUCGGCUAUCACUUACAGAUGGACCCGCGGCGCAUUAGCUAGUUGGUGAGGUAACGGCUCACCAAGGCGACGAUGCGUAGCCGACUUGAGAGGGUGAUCGGCCACACUGGGACUGAGACACGGCCCAGACUCCUACGGGAGGCAGCAGUAGGGAAUCUUCCGCAAUGGACGAAAGUCUGACGGAGCAACGCCGCGUGAGUGAUGAAGGUUUUCGGAUCGUAAAACUC